rnacentral:rRNA from 1 species
CCUUCCUUGUCGAACCGAUGAGACAUAAACCUUGAACGACACACCCACCAACCCGCCUAGUCAUUCGAUGGAGUUUAGGAGGUACUUUAAGGGGAAGGUUCGAACCGAUCCCAAGCCCAUCUCCUUCUUAUCGAGCAAGGAUUGUGGACCAUAGUCUAUGUCGGCGAUAGCACCUCAAAAGGGUGGGCGGAGCAUGAGCAGAAGUUCAGAUGGCCGCUCGGCGUAGGUACCUCCGCGACAGUAGCCUUAGGUUCCGCUACAUGCUAGAUGAAGCGCGAUUAUAGUGGUGGCUACAGUUGUGGGGAGAAGUGAGUUCAGUCCUCGAGCAGGAGUUCCGGCAGGUCUUGUACGAACUGCUCUGUCGCCGUGCUUAGUUGCUGAGCAACUGAAGCUUCUAGCUCCGGCACGCGCUCCUAGAGCCGCAGCUGUAGCGGGUCUACACGGAGCGGCUGCUGUUCCCGAGGGCACCCCUUAACGACGUGAGAAGCCCAUGGAGCAAGUUGGCCUGUCCACCGAGGAGCAGUCACGGGUACGUCUAAGAUGUCACAGCGCAAGCUGUCCUUCCGUUUGCGUGUUAACGAGUCCCGGAAUAGGUUACCUUACUACCACGGGGCCUACGACGUUGGACCCUUCUAGAGCUUAGUGACUUCGUUUUCAAAGGGGCCCGUGGCCGAACCCCAGUUCGGCGAAGAGUUCCAGCCCCCCCACAGUUGUCGAGAGGAAGUUGAUGAUGACUGCUGUACCGCCCGUGACCCGACCUUUUGGUUCUCCUCCGUGAUCCGGGUUGACCUCUUCAUAGCAAGUCCGGGUACUCUCUGACAGCAGUAGGCUUUACCGAACGUCCAGUACUCACCCGGGUGAUCCGGAACAUUGACAGCAUAUUUAUCUACCGAGACCAUCCUCACCUGUACUUCCUUCCUUGCCGAACCGAUGAGACAUAAACCUUGAACGACACACCCACCAACCCGCCUAGUCGUUCGAUGGAGUUUAGGAGGUACUUUAAGGGGAAGGUUCGAACGGAUCCCAAGCCCAUCUCCUUCUUAUCGAGCAAGGAUUGUAAGAUGGAUUCCGCCGUCGGAGGGAGGGGGACGAAGUUGGGUACCGCCGCCGGUGGUGACGCGGCGGAAGGAGCACAGGGUGCAGCGGCCACGCGAGAGAGGGGCCGCCGGCUGCGCGGAGGAAAACGGGUACGCAGCACGAGGACGCCGGCGGGCGGGUGCGUGGCGGUUGGCUCGAGGCGGGAAUGUAGAGCGGUGGUGCUGGCGAGGAGGUGUAGAACCCGACGGCCGCGUGGUGGUGGG